UAGCUAUUCAUUUGAGAAUGCAGACUGCUCCGGCCAUGAUCUCUCCCAUUCCCACCUCAACCGAGCAGCGUGCCGGGCAGCAUGCAGUAGGCUAACCGAGUGUAAAUCCUUCCAACAACGUGGCAACGAUUGUUGGCUAAAGGAUCACGUGUGCACUAAGAAACAGCUUUCCAACGUGGGCCACAAGACCUUUGCUCAAUUCACAAAGCACUGUGGAGGUUCGCCAUCAACGGAGCACACAGGUUGUAGCUAUUCAUUUGAGAAUGCAGACUGCUCCGGCCAUGAUCUCUCCCAUUCCCACCUCAACCGAGCAGCGUGCCGGGCGGCAUGCAGCAGGCGAACCGACUGUAAAUCCUUCCAACAACGUGGCAACGAUUGUUGGCUAAAGGAUCACGUGUGCACUAAGAAACAGCUUUCCAACGUGGGCCACAAGACCUUUGCUCAAUUCACAAAGCACUGUGGAGGU